rnacentral:rRNA from 1 species
CCUGCAUGGAGUCGGAAUUGCUAGUAAUCGCGGAUCAGCAUGCCGCGGUGAAUACGUUCCCGGGCCUUGUACACACCGCCCGUCACACCAUGGGAGCCGGUAAUACCCGAAGUCAGUAGUCCAACCACGUGAGGACGCUGCCGAAGGUAGGAUUGGCGACUGGGGUGAAGUCGUAACAAGGUACC